rnacentral:lncRNA from 10 species
GAUUUUCUGCUCAGUCACAAUUUUACUUGAAAGCAAGAAUUGUCCUAGCUCCUUUUCCAUUAUUCCAAAACGUUUAACGUUCAAAGCAGGGUCUCAUUAAAAAAGAAACUACUGGUUGAUAUAAUUGAGAUAUUACAAUUUCAGAAUAAACAUUUGAUUAAAAAUAAGGAAAUCCUCAGUUCAUACUGUAUUUAAAAGAGAAUUGGUAACUUGAAUGUGUGUAAUUUUUUGGAACCUGUCUAAAAACCAAAUACCCCUGCAAACAGAUACAGCCCACCCUAUUCUAUUUAAAUAUUUUGCUGUUUUAUUUUAUAGAAAUUAUUUUGCUGAAUUCACAAAUAGAAUUUGAUUUAAGAAGAACUUUUUGUCCUGUGGUGUGUUUUUGGUUUUUUUUUUGGUUACUUUUUUUGUCCUUUUUUUUUUUUUUUAAAAGAGGACUGCAUAUUAAAAUUCAUUCUGUGCAUAGCAUGCCUAGGCAUGACACUGAUUCAGGAUUUCAGUCACAUCAAGUUUUUGUGCACAGAAAGAUUUGACCUUUGGCCCUCUACUGAAGAUUUUGAGAAAUCAGGAUGUUGACACUGUAAAAGUUUCCUAACAUAAUCUUGUACUUUUUGUAUGUUUUUUAUAUACAUGUAUAUUUAAUGAGCACAA